rnacentral:rRNA from 1 species
AUUGAACGCUGGCGGCAGGCCGCACACAUGCAAGUCGAAAGAGUGGCGGACGGGUGAGAAAUGUCGGGGAAACUGCCUGAUGGAGGGGGAUAACUACUGGAAAAGGUAGCUAAUACAGCAUACCAUCGGAUGUGCCCAGAUGGGAUUAGCUAGUAGGUGGGGUAAAGGCUCACCUAGGCGAAGAUCCCUAGCUGGUCUGAGAGGAUGACCAGCCACAGUGGAACUGAGACACGGUCCAGACUCCUACGGGAGGCAGCAGUUGGGAAUAUUGCACAAUGGGCGAAAGCCUGAUGCAGCCAUGCCGCGUGUAUGAAGAAGGCCUUCGGGUUGUAAAGUACUUUCAGCGGGGAGGCGUUAACCGCAGAAGAAGCACCGGCUAACUCCGUGCCAGCAGCCGCGGUAAUAC